rnacentral:rRNA from 1 species
GACGAACGCUGGCGGCGUGCUUAACACAUGCAAGUCGAACGGUGAAGCGCCUUCCUUUUUGGUGGGUGUGGAUGAGUGGCGAACGGGUGAGUAACACGUGAGUAACCUGCCCCCUUCUUCUGGAUAACCGCAUGAAAGUGUGGCUAAUACGGGAUAUUCUGGGUCUGUCGCAUGAUGGGUCUGGGAAAGAUAUUGUUUCGGUGGGGGAUGGGCUCGCGGCCUAUCAGCUUGUUGGGGGGGUGGUGGCCCACCAAGGCGGUGGCGGGGAGCCGGCCUGGGAGGGUUGACGGUCAGACGGGGACUGGGACACGGCCCAGACUCCUAAGGGAGGCAGCAGUGGGGAAUAUUGCACAAUGGGCGCAAGCCUGAUGCAGCGACGCCGCGUGAGGGAUGGAGGCCUUCGGGUUGUGAACCUCUUUCGCCAGUGAAGCAGGCCUGCCCCGUUUGUGGGUGGGUUGACGGUAGCUGGAUAAGAAGCGCCGGCUAACUACGUG